CAGUCGCCGCGCGGUAAUACAGAGGGUGCGAGCGUUAAUCGGAUUUACUGGGCGUAAAGCGUGCGUAGGCGGCUUCUUAAGUCGGAUGUGAAAUCCCUGAGCUUAACUUAGGAAUUGCAUUCGAUACUGGGAAGCUAGAGUAUGGGAGAGGAUGGUAGAAUUCCAGGUGUAGCGGUGAAAUGCGUAGAGAUCUGGAGGAAUACCGAUGGCGAAGGCAGCCAUCUGGCCUAAUACUGACGCUGAGGUACGAAAGCAUGGGGAGCAAACAGGAUUAGAUACCCCUGUAGUCCCUGUCUCUUAU
rnacentral:rRNA from 1 species